rnacentral:rRNA from 1 species
GAUGAACGCUGGCGGCGUGCCUAAUACAUGCAAGUCGAGCGAACAGACGAGGAGCUUGCUCCUCUGACGUUAGCGGCGGACGGGUGAGUAACACGUGGAUAACCUACCUAUAAGACUGGGAUAACUUCGGGAAACCGGAGCUAAUACCGGAUAAUAUAUUGAACCGCAUGGUUCAAUAGUGAAAGACGGUUUUGCUGUCACUUAUAGAUGGAUCCGCGCUGCAUUAGCUAGUUGGUAAGGUAACGGCUUACCAAGGCAACGAUGCGUAGCCGACCUGAGAGGGUGAUCGGCCACACUGGAACUGAGACACGGUCCAGACUCCUACGGGAGGCAGCAGUAGGGAAUCUUCCGCAAUGGGCGAAAGCCUGACGGAGCAACGCCGCGUGAAUGAUGAAGGUCUUCGGAUCGUAAAACUCUGUUAUUAGGGAAGAACAAAUGUGUAAGUAACUAUGCGCGUCUUGACGGUACCUAAUCAGAAAGCCACGGCUAACUACGUG